rnacentral:misc_RNA from 1 species
UACGUGGGGAGCAAGCGUUGUUCGGAUUUACUGGGCGUAAAGAGCUCGUAGGCGGAUAUGUAAGUCGGAUGUGAAAUCCUCUGGCUCAACCAGAGAAUUGCACCCGAAACUGCAUAUCUUGAGUUCAGCAGAGGGAAUCGGAAUCGAGGGUGUAGCGGUGAAAUGCGUAGAGAUCCUCGAGAACACCAGUGGCGAAGGCGGAUUCCUGGGCUGACACUGACGCUGAGGAGCGAAAGCUGGGGGAGCGAACAGG